rnacentral:rRNA from 1 species
GAUGAACGCUAGCUACAGGCUUAACACAUGCAAGUCGAGGGGAAACGACAUCGAAAGCUUGCUUUUGAUGGGCGUCGACCGGCGCACGGGUGAGUAACGCGUAUCCAACCUGCCCAUCAUUUGGGAAUAACCUUGCGAAAGUAAGACUAAUACCCAAUGAUAUCCCACGAAGGCAUCGGAAUGGGAUUAAAGAUUUAUCGGUGAUGGAUGGGGAUGCGUCUGAUUAGCUUGUUGGCGGGGUAACGGCCCAUCAAGGCAACGAUCAGUAGGGGUUCUGAGAGUAAGGUCCCCCACAUGGGAACUGAGCCACGGUCCAAAGUCCUACGGGAGGCAGCAGUGAGGAAGACUGGACAAUGGGCGAGAGCCUGAACCAGCCAAGUAGCGUGCAGGAAGACGGCCCUAUGGGUUGUAAACUGCUGUUAUAAGGGAAUAAAGUGGGUCACGUGUGACUUUUUGCAUGUACCUUAUGAAUAAGGACCGGCUAAUUCCGUG